UUUCUUUUUCUUUUUCUAGCAAUUUUUACAAUCCUUUGGUUUAAAUGACUUUGUGAGGGUCACCUAUACCGGAGUUGCCUUUUUGCUUUCUUUUAUUUUAUUUUAUUUUGUUUUUCUGGAUCAUUCACUUAUUUGCAUUGGCCCCCUACGUAGAGGAUGCGUAGGCCGGAGCUGACUGCUAGAAUAAACUACUGAGGACUUAUACGGAAAUGAUGAUUAAGGCCAUGGUAUAUGGGGUUUUGGGAAUGAUUCCUAUAUUUACGAAGUCUAU
rnacentral:lncRNA from 1 species